GAUGAACGCUGGCGGCGUGCCUAACACAUGCAAGUCGAACGGAGAUUCCGGACGGAAGUUUUCGGAUGGAAGCCUGUAAUUCUUAGUGGCGGACGGGUGAGUAACGCGUGGGCAACCUGCCCUAUACAGGGGGAUAGCAGCUGGAAACGGCUGGUAAGACCGCAUAAGUCGGCGAGACCGCAUGGUUUUGCCGGGAAAUGAGCAAUCAGGUAUAGGAUGGGCCCGCGUCCGAUUAGCCAGUUGGCAGGGUAAAAGCCUACCAAAGCAACGAUCGGUAGCCGGACAGAGAGACAGGGCGGCGACAGUGGGGCUGAGCCACAGACGAAACUCCUACGGGAGGCAGCAGUGGGUGAUAUUGCAAAAUGGAGGAAGCUAUGAUGCAGCGACGCCGGGAGAGUGAAGAAGUAUUGCGGUAUGUACAGCUCUAUCAGACGGGGCGAUGAUGACGGUACCUGACUAAGAAGCCCCGGCUAACUUCGUG
rnacentral:rRNA from 1 species